GCAUCUCCAGGUACCCAGCCCAGCUACCACCACACCCCCCUCAGUCUUCCCACUGGCUCCCAGCCCCCAGACUACGACCAGCUCCUCAGUGAACCUGGGAUGCAUGAUGUCAGGCUACUUUCCUGAGCCUGUGACCGUGUCCUGGAACUCAGGCUCCCUGACCAAUGGUGUGCUCACCUUCCCAUCUGUGCUCCAACCCUCGGGGCUCUACACAAGCAGCAGCAUGGUGACUGUGCCUGCCAGCAGCUGGCCUGGGCAGACCUACACCUGCAAUGUUGCCCACCCUGCCAGUGGCAGCAAAGUGGAUAAGACUGUUAAACCUACUGGAACUAGUUCCUGCACAUGCUGCCAAUGCCCACCUUCUGACCUCCUUGGGGGGCCAUCAGUCUUCAUCUUUCCCCCAAAACCCAAGGACACUCUGAUGAUCUCCCGUACACCUGAGGUGACCUGUGUGGUUGUCGACCUGAGCCCUGAAGAGUCUGAUGUGAAGUUCAGCUGGUUUGUAGAUGACGAUGAAGUAUAUAGUGCCAAAAUCACACAGCGGGAAGAGCAGUUCAACAGCACUGUUCGGGUAGUCAGUGCCCUCCCCAUCAGCCACCAGGACUGGCUGAAGGGCAGGGAGUUCAAGUGCAAGGUCAACAGCAAGGCCCUCCCUUCAGCCAUUGAGAGGACUAUCUCCAAGGCCAAAGGGCAGUCCCAAGAACCUCAGGUAUAUGUCCUGUCACCCCCUCGGGAGCAGCAAGGAAAGAAUGAGAUAAGCCUGACCUGCUUGGUCAUGGGCUUCUACCCUGAUGAAAUGGAUGUAGAGUGGAAAUCCAAUGGGGAACCAGAACCAGAGGACAAGUACCAUACCACACCACCCCAGCAGGACACAGAUGGCUCUUACUUCCUUUACAGCAAGUUGACUGUAAACAAGAACCAAUGGAAUCAGGGAGACAUUUUUUCCUGUGUUGUCAUGCAUGAGGCGCUGCACAACCACCUCACAGAGAAGCCCAUCUUUCAUACUCCUGAACUGAUCCCAAGUGAGAGCUGUGUAGAGGCACAGGAAGGGGAGCUGGAUGGGCUGUGGACCACACUCUCCAUCUUCAUCACACUCUUCCUGCUCAGCGUGUGCUACAGUGCCACUGUCACCCUCUUCAAGGUGAAAUGGAUCGUCUCCUCAGUGACUGAGCUGAAGCGCACAAUGGUGCCUGACUACAGGAACAUGAUAGGCCAGGUUGCCUAGCUAUCCUAUGGCUCCUGAUAGCCCAGACACACUCUGCUUGACCACCAGGUCUAAUUCACUGCCUCUGACCUCAUAGCCAACAUGGCCUUGCAACUUUCUUCCAGAGAAUAGCACAGCAGCUAAUACCCCCACCAGAGCUUAAAUUCCUGCCUGCUUGCUUCCAACUGGAAUAACAGGAACAUGGUCAUCUGCACCCUAUUCAGAAAUAAGAUGGUGCCACUGUGUGAGCUACAGCAACUCCUAAACCCUGGAAAGCAGCUCUAAUCACAGUCUCCUGGCUUCAGAUCAAACAGCACUUGCUAUCACAGAAAGAAUAUCCUUCAUACUGGCCACCAGCAGGGCCACUUCCACAAAUACCACUGGUAGACCUGCUGAAACUCCCAGAGGACAGGACUCAGAGAAGAACUGCAGGUACCUGCUGGGUAAUCUGGUAGGCUGGGCAUAUUAAAGAUACUACUAGGCCCAGUGGGUUUGUCAGUGCAACUGGAUACCUGUUCCAAGGGGUGUGUAUGUGUGUGUGUGUGUGUGUGUGUGUGUGUGUGUGUGUGUGUGUGUGUAUCAGGGAUGGCUGUACUGCUUCAGUAGGUAAGUGGCCAGAUGACAGAGAGAGAACAGGACCACAUGGCUCAAGAAGCCAAUACUGUGACCAGCCUGGGCACCUGGGCAGGAGCUUGCUUUUCUGGGGACAGGCCAAUGUAAGAUCCCAGGGACAUCCAUGACCUCAAGGGUCUGCCAGGUGAUGAGGCCCUGCCCCCCUCAUGGCUAUGGGCCAAGCAUCCUACCACCUCCAGCAGAAUCUCAGUGAACAUCUCCAUCAUCAAGGAACACAGAUACAGAAACCAUAUCACUGGGGAACUUUCCUUUUUUUAAGAUUCUAUAACUUAAUACUUCCU